UACGUAGGGGGCAAGCGUUGUCCGGAAUCAUUGGGCGUAAAGAGCGUGUAGGCGGCUCGGUAAGUCCGCUCUGAAAGCCCGGGGCUCAACCCCGGGAGGCGGGCGGAUACUGUCGGGCUAGAGUCCGGAAGAGGCGAGUGGAAUUCCUGGUGUAGCGGUGAAAUGCGCAGAUAUCAGGAGGAACACCUAUUGCGAAGGCAGCUCGCUGGGACGUGACUGACGCUGAGACGCGAAAGCGUGGGGAGCAAACAGG
rnacentral:rRNA from 1 species